AUUGAACGCUGGCGGCAGGCCUAACACAUGCAAGUCGAGCGAGCGGCGGACGGGUGAGUAAUGUCUGGGAAACUGCCUGAUGGAGGGGGAUAACUACUGGAAACGGUAGCUAAUACCGCAUACCAUCAGAUGUGCCCAGAUGGGAUUAGCUAGUAGGUGGGGUAAUGGCUCACCUAGGCGACGAUCCCUAGCUGGUCUGAGAGGAUGACCAGCAACACCGGAACUGCAACACGGUCCAGACUCCGACGGGAGGCAGCAGUGGGGAUGAUUGGACACUGGGCGAAAGCCUGAUGCAGCCAUGCAGCGUGUGUGAAGAAGGCCUUGGGGUUGUAAAGCACUUUCAGCGGGGAGGCGUUACCCGCAGAAGAAGGACCGGCUAACUCCGUGCCAGCAGCCGCGGUAAUUC
rnacentral:rRNA from 1 species